rnacentral:rRNA from 1 species
UGCCAGCCGCCGCGGUAAUACGGAGGUUGCGAGCGUUGUUCGGAUUUACUGGGCGUAAAGGGAGCGCAGGCGGCCAAGUCAGUCUAAAGUGAAAGCCCGGGGCCCAACCUCGGAAUUGCUUUGGAUACUGCUUGGCUUGAGUAUGCGAGAGGUGAGUGGAAUUCCAGGUGUAGCGGUGGAAUGCGUAGAUAUCUGGAGGAACACCCGUGGCGAAAGCGGCUCACUGGCGCAAUACUGACGCUGAGGCUCGAAAGCGUGGGGAGCGAACGGGAUUAGAUA